rnacentral:rRNA from 1 species
GGUAAUACGUAGGUGGCAAGCGUUGUCCGGAUUUAUUGGGUUUAAAGGGUGCGUAGGUGGCUUUGUAAGUCAGCGGUGAAACUCUGGAGCUUAACUCCAGACCGGCCAUUGAUACUGCAGAGCUUGAGUUCGAACGAGGUAGGCGGAAUUGACGGUGUAGCGGUGAAAUGCAUAGAUAUCGUCAAGAACACCAAUAGCGAAGGCAGCUUACUAGAACGACACUGACACUGAGGCACGAAAGCGUGGGUAGCAAACAGGAUUAGAUACCCUGGUAGUCCACGCCGUAAACGAUGAUUACUCGAUGUUAGCGAUAUACAGUUAGCGUCCAAGGGAAACCGAUAAGUAAUCCACCUGGGGAGUACGCUCGCAAGAGUGAAACUCA